CGUGAAAAGAGCUGCCACCUCUGCUCUCUAAAUGCCACCUGAGUUGUUACAUAACAUUGAGCAAAGUUCAUCUGUGCUAUACGCAAGAGCAUGUUACUACUGUAAUGAGAAACAGAAAAAAGAGGCUUGGACUUCUCUGGUAGCGCAGUGGAUAAGAAUCAAUGCAGGGACACGUGUUCUACCCUUGAUCCUAGAAGAUUCCACGUGCGGCGGAGUAACUAACUAAGCCCAUGGGCCACAACUAUUUGAGCCUGUGCUCUAGAGCCCAGGAGCCGCAGCUACCGAAGCCCAUGCACCUAGAGCCCACGCGCCACAACCAAGAGUAGC